CAUCUGGGUGAAGACGGAAGUUACACCGUCGAAACAUGUCAGAUUUGAGGAUCAACUCUUCUCAAACCCUCCCACUGCUGAGGAGGCGGAGCUGCAGGAACCUGACGGAGAUGAAAGUCCUCAUGAAACUCAGGAACCAACUGUUAAAAGAUCACAUCAGCUCAGAGCUGGAGACUGGUGAAAGGUUAUGAGUUCAAACCCAUGGACUUUCACCUGCUGUAUUGGACAAGGUCACAUAACUGGUGCAUUUCACUGCUCGAUGAAAUUAAAGUCAGGUUUAAUGGGUGUGAGGUUUGAAAUAAAACAAAACUUGUGAUGCUCA